rnacentral:rRNA from 1 species
GACGAACGCUGGCGGCGUGCUUAACACAUGCAAGUCGAACGGAAAGGCCCUGCUUUUGUGGGGUGCUCGAGUGGCGAACGGGUGAGUAACACGUGAGUAACCUGCCCUUGACUGUGGGAUAACUUCAGGAAACUGGGGCUAAUACCGGAUAGGAGCUCCUGCUGCAGGGUGGGGGUGGGAAAGUUUCGGCGGUUGGGGAUGGACUCGCGGCUUAUCAGCUUGUUGGUGGGGUAGUGGCUUACCAAGGCUUUGACGGGUAGCCGGCCUGAGAGGGUGACCGGCCACAUUGGGACUGAGAUACGGCCCAGACUCCUACGGGAGGCAGCAGUGGGGAAUAUUGCACAAUGGGCGGAAGCCUGAUGCAGCAACGCCGCGUGCGGGAUGACGGCCUUCGGGUUGUAAACCGCUUUCGCCUGUGACGAAGCGUGAGUGACGGUAAUGGGUAAAGAAGCACCGGCUAACUACGUG